rnacentral:rRNA from 1 species
UACGUAGGGGGCGAGCGUUGUCCGGAUUCAUUGGGCGUAAAGAGCUCGUAGGCGGUUCGGUUAGUCAGAUGUGAAAACUCCGGGCUCAACUCGGAGAGGCCAUCUGAUACUGCCGUGACUGGAGUUCGGUAGAGGAGUGUGGAAUUCCCGGUGUAGCGGUGAAAUGCGCAGAUAUCGGGAGGAACACCAGCGGCGAAGGCGGCACUCUGGGCCGAUACUGACGCUGAGGAGCGGAAAGCG